GACGAACGCUGGCGGCGUGCUUAACACAUGCAAGUCGAACGGAAAGGCCCUGCUUUUGUGGGGUGCUCGAGUGGCGAACGGGUGAGUAACACGUGAGUAACCUGCCCUUGACUUUGGGAUAACUUCAGGAAACUGGGGCUAAUACCGGAUAGGAGCUCCUGCUGCAUGGUGGGGGUUGGAAAGUUUCGGCGGUUGGGGAUGGACUCGCGGCUUAUCAGCUUGUUGGUGGGGUAGUGGCUUACCAAGGCUUUGACGGGUAGCCGGCCUGAGAGGGUGACCGGCCACAUUGGGACUGAGGUACGGACCAGAAUCCUACGGGAGGCAGCAGUGGAGAAUAUUGCACAGUGGGCGGAAGCCUGAUGCAGAAACGCCGCGUGCGGGAUGACGGCCUUCGGGUUGUAAACCGCUUUCGCCUGUGACGAAGCGUGAGUGACGGUAAUGGGUAAAGAAGCACCGGCUAACUACGUG
rnacentral:rRNA from 1 species